GGUCCACCAGAGCUGUACACCACCUCGCCAUGCUGUUCGAGCAAAUCCUCGAGCAACUUGUCCGCAUCAUCCCCUCUCCCAAAGUUCUACUCGAUCAACGACCAGAAAAGACAUCAGUGAGCUGGAGUUGGACAGGUUGAUCACACACGAAGUCGGCCUGCAGGACAUCAACACGGCCUUCGACCUGCUCCUGCAGCAGAAGAGCCUCAGGUGCAUCAUCCGGGUUGACAACUAAUGGCAAGGAAAGGGGAAAAUUCGGCAGCUGAAUAUGCAAAUCUGAGUGAACUAAAAUUGACGGCGGCCGAAUCUAUGGGUUCUGAAUUCUGAGUAAAUUAAACGGUGGUGCAAUCAGUUGAUGAGUUGAAUAAAAUUUGCUCUGUUUCUGGUCU